UACGGGGGGGGUAAGCGUUGUUCGGAAUUACUGGGCGUAAAGAGUGUGUAGGCGGUGCUCUAAGUUCGGUGUGAAAUCUCCCGGCUCAACUGGGAGGGUGCGCCGAAAACUGGGGUGCUGGAGCGCGGGAGAGGAAAGCGGAAUUCCUGGUGUAGCGGUGAAAUGCGUAGAUAUCAGGAGGAACACCGGCGGUGUAGACGGCUUUCUGGACCGUAGCUGACGCUGAGACACGAAAGCGUGGGUAGCAAACAGG
rnacentral:rRNA from 1 species